rnacentral:rRNA from 1 species
AUGGGAACGCGAAGAACCUUACCUAGACUUGACAUCUCCUGAAUUACUCGUAACUGAGGAAAUCCCUUCGGGGACAGGAAGACAGGUGGUGCAUGGUUGUCGUCAGCUCGUGUCGUGAGGUGUUGGGUUAAGUCCCGCAACGAGCGCAACCCUUAUCAUUAGUUGCUAACAUUUAGUUGAGCACUCUAGUGAGACUGCCUGGGUUAACCAGGAGGAAGGUGGGGAUGACGUCAAAUCAUCACGCCCCUUAUGUCUAGGGCCACACACGUGCUACAAUGGUGGGGACAAAGAGAUGCGAAACCGCAAGGUUGAGCCAAACUCAAAACCCCAUCCCAGUUCGGAUUGUAGGCUGAAACUCGCCUACAUGAAGCCGGAGUUGCUAGUAAUCGCGAAUCAGAAUGUCGCGGUGAAUACGUUCCCGGGUCUUGUACACACCG